AGUAGCCGCGGGAAUACCGAGGGUGCGAGCGUUAAUCGGAUUUACUGGGCGUAAAGCGUGCGUAGGCGGCUUCUUAAGUCGGAUGUGAAAUCCCUGAGCUUAACUUAGGAAUUGCAUUCGAUACUGGGAAGCUAGAGUAUGGGAGAGGAUGGUAGAAUUCCAGGUGUAGCGGUGAAAUGCGUAGAGAUCUGGAGGAAUACCGAUGGCGAAGGCAGCCAUCUGGCCUAAUACUGACGCUGAGGUACGAAAGCAUGGGGAGCAAACAGGAUUAGAUACCCGUGUAGUCCCUGUCUCUUAUACC
rnacentral:rRNA from 1 species